GGAAAAGAAACUAACCAGGAUUCCCCCAGUAACGGCGAGUGAAGCGGGAAGAGCUCACGUUGUAAAUCUGGCCUUCGGCCCGAAUUGUAGUCUGGAGAGGCGAGGCCAGCCGUCGGCGGGGGCGAAGUCUCUUGGAAAAGAGCAUCAAGGAGGGUGACAAUCCCGUUCUUGCCCCCUGAUUUCGGCGCGCGUACGGUCCGUUUUCUACGAGUCGAGUUGCUUGGGAUUGCAGCUCAAAGCGGGUGGUAAAUUCCAUCUAAAGCUAAACACGGGUGGGAGACCGAUAGCGAACAAGUACCGUGAGGGAAAGAUGCAAAGAACUUUGAAAAGAGAGUUAAAGAGUGCCUGAAAUUGCUGAAAGGGAAGCGAAGGAAACCAGUGUCUGUCAGAUCCGCUUCCCCUCCGCCCUUCGGGGCGUUGGCUUGCGUUUUUGUCGUGGCCAGGGCCGGGUAGUGUUGCGGGAGUCUGCGCCUCGGAAGGUGGCCUAUCCUCGGAUGGUGAAUACCGUGGCGUUUCGUCGCGACGCUGGCCGGUUCUGACGAAAUGGUUUUCUUUAC
rnacentral:rRNA from 1 species